rnacentral:rRNA from 1 species
UACGUAGGGGGCAAGCGUUGUCCGGAUUUAUUGGGCGUAAAGAGCGUGUAGGCGGUUAGGUAGGUCCGUUGUGAAAACUCGAGGCUCAACCUCGAGACGCCGAUGGAAACCAUCUGACUAGAGUCCGGAAGAGGAGAGUGGAAUUCCUGGUGUAGCGGUGAAAUGCGCAGAUAUCAAGAGGAACACCUGAGGUGAAGACGGGUUGCUGGGCUGACACUGACGCUGAGGCGCGAAAGCUAGGGUAGCAAACGGG